rnacentral:lncRNA from 1 species
CCAGUACGGUAAACUCCGAUCACGCACCAUCAUUGCCACCGGAGUCUAUUCCAUAGUCGCCGAGAACACUUGUUCGAUGUUCCGAUGCUUUAUUGCGCAGAUAUCACUAAUCCACAAGCCUUUUCACGCGAAAGAGAAUGUUCACGCGUUUAAUGUCGGUAAGUGGAGGAACAAAAUAUCCCAAAACUAUUCAAAAUCUCUCUUCCUUUUUCUCUGGCAUCGUUUUACACUAUUGAUUUUUCCAAUGCAGUAUCGGUUCCAUUUGCUUUCGUCUGUGACCUCAGAAGUGCUCGUGGAUAAAGGCCAAUCGUUUUUGCUGGCUCGGGGCACGUUUUGAAUUUAUCUUGUUUUUUUUGCAUAAUAAUUAGUUUUUCGAUAUUUCUUUUACGGAAUUAAAUGUUCUGCUUAUUAGCUUUGGUCAGUUGCGGUUUUGUCACGAAAACAGAGGAGUCUCUGAUUUCGAGAAUACCGUUUAGAUGUCGUUAUUUCCAUGCAACAGGUUUGGUUGAAUCAAACGUGAAUUGCAUUGUUUUUAUUAAUAUUUGUGAUUUGUGAUGUCUUAUACGUUGACGUUUUCAUUUGGUUUCCCUUUUAUUGUAUUGUUCCAGCAUUGUCUUCUUCUACUGGACUACUGCCGA